GACGAACGCUGGCGGCGUGCCUAAUACAUGCAAGUAGAACGCAGUUGCGAACGGGUGAGUAACGCGUAGGUAACUGCCUCAUAGCGGGGGAUAACUAUUGGAAACGAUAGCUAAUACCGCAUACUGUGAGAUGGACCUGAGUUGUAUUUGCUAGUUGGUGAGGUAAAGGCUCACCAAGGCGACGAUACAUAGCCGAGCUGAGAGGGUGAACGGCCCACCUGGGACUGAGAACCGGGCCAGACUCCUUCGGGAGGCAGCAGGAGGGAAUCUUCGGCAAUGGACGGAAGUCUGACCGAGCAACGCCGCGUGAGAUGAGAAGGUUUUCGGAUUUGAAAGCUCCGUUGUGAGAGAAGCGUUAACUAACCAGGUAGGGACGGCUAACUACGUGCCAGCAGCCGCGGUAAUAC
rnacentral:rRNA from 1 species